GUGGGGAAUGAGGCUCAGGGGCUGGCAGAAUGAACUCUUCUCAAGAAGGAGCCACUCAAGCUCAUUUUCAAACCUGUCAGAAACCACCCCCCAAUUAUUUCAGUGCAAGUCAAAAUAAUCUGUAGAGAUCUGUACAGAUGGUUCAUUCUACUGUCACUAGGGUGGUUUGUGACAUGCCCUGCUCACCUGACCUAUUGGUGAACAGUGCCUUCUUUCAGGUUAGGACAACUGAACAGGUUUUGGCUCUGCAGCCUCUUCCACGGAGGAAGAAAAGACAUCUCACUCUCCCAUGCUCUCUAUGAACCAGAUGAAAGCUUUUUCAAGUUGGAUCAUGAUCCUUAUGGGGCUGUAGGGGGAUUCAGAGGGAAUUGCAAAGUGUUUGUUAGUCUCAAAAUGGCUAAUUAGUUUUAAUCAUUGGCAGCAACUCAGAAAUUACAGCUGGUUCUCAUGCUGAUGCCCUGGAGCAGCAAAGCUGUUGCCCACAGUUAAAGAGUUAAUGUCCCCUGGAGAGGAACAGAACGCUUGUAAUUCCUCCCAAGCUAAAGCCUCGGAGGCCACUGAAGCAGUUAGGCAAUACUGCAUCAGGCUACCCUCCAACAGGCAGGCUGGCUGUCCUGGUGUCCCUGCAUCUUGGCUAAACCCCAUCCUUCUUGGAAGAAAGCAGGUGAGGCAGGGUUUAUGCCAAUAAUGUUGUUUUAACUAUGUUCUAAUUAUAUACUUGGA
rnacentral:lncRNA from 1 species